ensembl:snRNA U6 U6 spliceosomal RNA
AUGCUCACCUCAGUAGCACAUAUACUAAAAUUGGAUUGAUGCAGAGAAGGUUAGCAUGGCCCCUGCACAAAGAUGACACACAAAUUCAUGAAGGAUUCCAUAUUUAA